rnacentral:rRNA from 1 species
UACGGGGGGAGCAAGCGUUGUCCGGAUUUACUGGCGUAAAGGCGCGUAGGCGGUCAGCACAAGUCAGUUGUGAAAUCUCCGGGCUUAACUCGGAAAGGUCAACUGAUACUGUGCGACUAGAGUGCGGAAGGGGCAACUGGAAUUCUCGGUGUAGCGGUGAAAUGCGUAGAUAUCGAGAGGAACACCUGCGGCGAAGGCGGGUUGCUGGGCCGACACUGACGCUGAUGCGCGAAAGCCAGGGGAGCGAACGGG